CCUUGGUCAUGCAAUAGCAUUUGGG
rnacentral:piRNA from 1 species